rnacentral:rRNA from 1 species
GAGUUUGAUCCUGGCUCAGGAUGAACGCUAGCGGCAGGCUUAACACAUGCAAGUCGAGGGGUAACAGGAGAGCUUGCUCUCGCUGACGACCGGCGCACGGGUGAGUAACGCGUAUGCAACCUACCCAUAACUGGGGGAUAGCUUCCGGAAACGGAAAUUAAUACCCCAUAGUAUUAUAAUACCGCAUGGUAUAAUAAUUAAAGUUCCGACGGUUAUGGAUGGGCAUGCGUGCCAUUAGUUUGUUGGUGAGGUAACGGCUCACCAAGGCUAUGAUGGCUAGGGGGUCUUAAAGGAUGGUCCCCCACACUGGUACUGAGACACGGACCAGACUCCUACGGGAGGCAGCAGUGAGGAAUAUUGGUCAAUGGGCGCAAGCCUGAACCAGCCAUGCCGCGUGCAGGAAGACGGCCCUAUGGGUUGUAAACUGCUUUUAUAUAGGAAGAAUGUGAGCUACGUGUAGCUUUUUGCCGGUACCAUACGAAUAAGCAUCGGCUAACUCCGUGCCAGCAGCCGCGGUAAUACGGAGGAUGCGAGCGUUAUCCGGAUUCAUUGGGUUUAAAGGGUGCGUAGGCGGAUUAUUAAGUCAGGGGUGAAAGUUUGCGGCUCAACCGUAAAAUUGCCUUUGAUACUGGUAAUCUUGAGUACAUUUGAGGUAGGCGGAAUGUGAUGUGUAGCGGUGAAAUGCUUAGAUAUAUCACAGAACACCGAUUGCGAAGGCAGCUUACUAAACUGUAACUGACGCUGAGGCACGAAAGCGUGGGUAUCGAACAGGAUUAGAUACCCUGGUAGUCCACGCCGUAAACGAUGAUUACUAGUUGUUUGCAAUACAUGGUAAGCGACAAAGCGAAAGCAUUAAGUAAUCCACCUGGGGAGUACGUUGGCAACAAUGAAACUCAAAGGAAUUGACGGGGGCCCGCACAAGCGGAGGAACAUGUGGUUUAAUUCGAUGAUACGCGAGGAACCUUACCUGGACUUAAAUGGGGAGUGACCGGACUAGAAUAGCUUUUUCUUCGGACAAUUUACAAGGUGCUGCAUGGUUGUCGUCAGCUCGUGCCGUGAGGUGUCGGGUUAAGUCCCAUAACGAGCGCAACCCACGUCUUUAGUUACCAGCACGUAAUGGUGGGCACUCUAGAGAGACUGCCGGUGUAAACCGCGAGGAAGGUGUGGAUGACGUCAAAUCAGCACGGCCCUUACGUCCAGGGCUACACACGUGUUACAAUGGCCGGUACAGAGGGCAGCUACUGGGUGACCAGAUGCGAAUCUCCAAAACCGGUCUCAGUUCGGAUCGAAGUCUGCAACCCGACUUCGUGAAGCUGGAUUCGCUAGUAAUCGCAUAUCAGCCAUGAUGCGGUGAAUACGUUCCCGGGCCUUGUACACACCGCCCGUCAAACCAUGGAAGCCGGGGGUACCUGAAGUCUGUCACCGUAAGGAGCGGCCUAGGGUAAAUCUGGUAACUAGGGCUAAGUCGUAACAAGGUAGCCGUACCGGAAGGUGCGGCUGGAACACCUCCUUU